GUUUGGUUAUCUUUCUGUGCUGUGGAAGGUUUGUUCUUUCACUCUGCACUAUUUUGCAAUAAAUAUUGCUAUUGCUCACUUUGGGUUUAUAUUGCCUUUAUGAGCUGUAACACUCACCAUGAAGGUCUGCAGCUUUACUCUUGAAGCUUAGCGAGACCACUAACCCACCAGAAGGAAGAAACUCCGGACACGCCGCCUUUAAGAACUGUAAUACUCAGUGCGAGGGUUCACGGCUUCAUUCUUGAGAAAGACAACGAGGAGGGAGCAGCUAGAGGGGUGGAAAUGGGAUCACGUGACCUUGCGAGAAGCAGGGAGAGAGAACACUGCGUCUGCUCCCUUUUAGAACAGCUCAAUAUAGGGAAUCCCUAACAGAGGACUUCCAGGAUAUCCUAGGGACAGCAGAGCCUCAAGAUCCAGGGAGGAUCCUGGAUACCUGAGUCACCACUUGGAGGGGAAUCUCCUGGAAGAACUGAUUGAUCAGCAACAUCUACAUUCAACUUGAGCCUAAAUCAGCAUCCAGCGGCCUUGAGGAAAAAGACUGAGGUUGCUACAGAGGAGAGCAGAAAGAAGAAGGGAGCUAACGUUCAGCUUUUGAUAUUCAAAAUGAGAUUUCUUGGCAAAAUAAUAGGAGAGGAAAAAAUUUUUCCAAGUUUCUUUAGCUCCUAUUUAACAGAUCAAGACUGGCUUUGAUGUGUUGCUCCAGUUCCCCUACCCUCUCCUGCCCUGCUUAGGCCUUGCCUCUUGGUUACAUAGAGGGAGCAGUUGUGGGGAGGAAGAGGCCACCUCUGCUGGUCUACAGUCAAGGUAUUAUCUGGGGCUGGGGUCUCAUCUGAAGACUCAACUGGGGAAAGAUCCACAUCUAAGCUCAUGUGAUUGUGGGGGAGGAAGGGAGGGAGAAGGAUAGAGAGGGAGGUGCUGUGCUUUCUUCCCUGAGCCUUGGGAGGUGGGAGGUCUGGAGGUGGCCUUGAGACCAGCCUGCUAGGAGGUUAUGGGACCUGAGGGGCAGGGGAAAGCUUUUGCCCAGCUACAGGUGGAGUGUGGUCACAUCUCACAUGCUCAGCCUGCUUGGGCUGAAGGAGGCCUGAACAUUUCCAUCCCCAAGCUGACCUCAGUUUAUACUUGUUAGAGUAGCUGACGGAUUGCUGAGAAGCUGGCUACUGGGGAGGACAGUCAUUGUGGUUAGUCGUCUUUUUUUUUUUAACAGGUUGGGCAAUGUUGAGGUCAUCCUGCAAAAAGCCUGGGGUCCUGCUCUCCUAACCUUCAGCACCCCUUGAGUGUGGUGGAAGAGGGCUUUGAGUCUUGAGCAGUCAGAGAAACCACGUUGUGACUUGCUGCAAGGGCAAAUGACAAAUGAUGGCCAGGCAAACCACCUAGGGACUUUGUCAGGCAAGACACAGGACUGUGGAAGUCACAGGAGGGCUGGCCAGGAAGGCUGCCUCUUUCAACGUCCCCAAGGCAACCACUCUAUGUCAGCAAGGACUCCUGAACCCAUGGCAACCCACCAGCUGCUGCUCUGGGAAGUGAGACCUUACCAGCUUGCUGCCUCCCCAGCAAUGCAGCUGCCCUGUUGGUCAGGACAACCUCUCAGGAGGGUAUCAGGCCCUGGUGUACAGUCCUUUCUUCUAGAAAGAGACAAACAGUGCAAUCACCACAGCCUCCCACUUCUUCUUAGACAGAUCUCACAUCGGAUUCACAGGGGCUUCCUGGGAACAUAAUUCUGUUGAGCCUUAGAAAUCAGGUAGGAUUUUGACUGAUUUGGGAGGUUGGUUAAUUUUACUUUUAUUUUGUUCUCUACAGCUGCUGUUAAGCCUGGCUUAGGGGUCCACCCUUUCCCAGCCCCCUUCCCUUUCUUUAUAACCUGGAUUUUGCACAAUCUAUAUCUCUCUAUAUCUCUGCAUCCAUCCAUCCAUCCAUCCAUCCAUCCAUCCAUCCAUCCAUCUCCCUCCCUUUGCCCAUUUGUCUCUUUCUUGAUAUAGGCUAGACUUUCCCAAAGUAAUUUCAACAAAAAGUAAAGGAAAAAAUCAAAUGAGAUGCACACCUUUCUCUCCAAGCCACAAACAGUGCAUAACAUCAUCAGGUAGUCAGGCUUCUGAAGGUUCUCUACACACGCCUGAUCUCUCCAAUAGCUAAGGCUCUCACUUUCAGUGUGGUUAGUGGUUAGGGAAAUGGACUUGAGAGCUGGACUGCCUGGGCUCAAUUCUCAGCUCUGGUACUGGUCUCAUGGCCUUGGGAAAGUGUUUUGUUGUUGUUGUUUUGUUUUUACAUUUCUCUGCCUCAGUGCUUCUUCGGUAAAAUGGGAAUAAAAAGAGUAACUGUCUCAUAAGAUGACUGUGAGAAUGAAAUCAGUGAAUUAAUAUGUACAAAGAGCUUAAACAUCACUUGGAACAUAGUAAGUGAUAUAUGAGAGUCAGUUCUUAUGACUAGUACUGGGCACAUAAGGUGGCAAGACCCCCUUAUCCCCAUUUUUAGUUCUUGGCAAGUCCCCCUUUGACUCCAGGUUGCUAAGCACAGCUAUGCAGGUUGCACACUACAUACCCCAUCUCCACAGACUCACUCACUCACUCUUCUCCUGUGCAGGGAGGAGUUAGGGUGGCGUUUCGGGCAGAUCAUUAUGGCAAAUGGAGUUUGCAGCAGGACUAACAGGGUCACCUUCAGGGUCCUGGAUGAAGUUCAUUCUUUCAGGGCCACAGAAGCGUAGAAAACUCUUUAGUCAUAAGUUGGUGGGGGUGCCAAGAGGAAAGGCACAGCAGAGAAUGCUAAGAGCCUAAGGAUGUGACUGGAGAAUCUCCUGAAGUUAUAGAUCCUGCAGGCAGGGCUGGCUUCAGGGAAGUGCAACCUGUGCAGUCGCACUGGUCCACAUGCUUGGAAGAGGCCCCUUAUUUUCACUUUGCACUGAGUCCUCAAGUUACAUGACUGGUCAGUCCUACCCCAUAAGGCAUGGAUUGCAAAGGAGAACAAAGAAUCCACGGAGGUGAUCGACUUUGAGGUGAAGCUGGGAGAGGAAGAUGAUGGUGCCAUCAACAGAAAAAGAGUCUUUCUAUUGCCUUCUUGGCUGGCAGGCUUUGAUGACUCAGGCUGCCAUACUGAAGAUGCCCACAUGGCCAGGAGCUGGGACCUUUAUUCUAACAACCCUCAAGCAGCUGAAUCCUGCCAAUAAUCAUGUGAGCUUGGAUGUGGGUCCUUCCCUACUUGAACCUUCAGAUGAGACCCCAGCCCCAGCUGAUACUUUGACUGCAGCUUUGUGAGAGACCCUGAGACAGAGGACCGAGAUGAGCCAUGCCUUGGCUGCUGGCCCACAAAAACUGUGAGAUCAAAAUGAUGUGUUGUUUUAAGCCAUUAACUGUGUGGUAACUUGUCAAACAGUGUAUUAGGCCAUUUGUGUUGCUACAAAGGAAUACCCGAGGCUGAGUAGUUUAUUAAGAAAAGAGGUUUAAUUGGCUUAUGGUUCUGCA
rnacentral:lncRNA from 1 species